AGGUGUAUGAGCUCUUCGUGUUUCUGGAGAAGUUAUUUUAAUAAAGGCUCGAGAACUCUGUUCUGUCACCAUGGACACUGGAUGUCGUUUAAACACUUAUUUUUUGGGGAGUCUCCUUUUCCUGCUAGAAAUAUGAGGUUUCUCUUGGAGUUUUAGCUUUGUGCCAUAGCUGCAGCAUCUGACUAGGGCCCACACUGGAGCAAAGAGGUACGGGGAGAGUUUCUUGCCUUUUGGGAAGUCUGAGGUCUUCUGCCAGCG